rnacentral:rRNA from 1 species
GACGUAGGAGGCGAGCGUUGUCCGGAUUCAUUGGGCGUAAAGAGCACGCAGGCGGUUUGGCAAGUCGGAUGUGAAAACCCGGAGCUCAACUCCGGACCUGCAUCCGAAACUGCCCGACUAGAGGUAGGUAGGGGAGAUCGGAAUUCCUGGUGUAGCGGUGAAAUGCGUAGAUAUCGUUUGGAACGCCAGUGGUGAAAACGGGUCGCUGGGGACAUGCUGACGCUGAGACACGAAAGCCAGGGGAGCAAACGGG